rnacentral:rRNA from 1 species
AUUGAACGCUGGCGGCGUGCUUAACACAUGCAAGUCGAUCGGUAACAGGUGUAGCAAUACAUGCUGACGAGAGGCGGACGGGUGAGGAAUAUUUGGGAAUCUGCCCAUCAGCGGGGGACAACCCGGGGAAACCCGGGCUAAUACCGCAGACGCUCUACGGAGGCAAGCCGGGGACAGCACUGCCGGGGACGGAGGGAUGAGCCCAAAUCGGAUUAGCUAGUUGGCGGGGUAAAGGCCCACCAAGGCGACGAUCCGUAGCUGGUCUGAGAGGACGAUCAGCCACGCCGGAACUGAGACACGGUCCGGACUCCUACGGGAGGCAGCAGUGGGGAAUAUUGGACAAUGGGGGAAACCCUGAUCCAGCGACGCCGCGUGGGUGAAGAAGGCCUGCGGGUUGUAAAGCCCUUUCGGUAGGGACGAAAGCUCCUGCUCUAAUAAUGCAGGAGGUUGACUUAACCUACAUAAGAAGCACCGGCUAACUCUGUGCCAGCCGCCGCAGUAAAAC